GUCUAAGCCCAGAUUUGGAGAAUAUCACUUGUUUUUCUCGAGCAUCUUGAAGAUCCCCCAAAUUCAAGUACUUGCUGACUCAGAUGAACAAGAAGUUGUCCAACAAGUACAAGAAUUCUUUGCUGAUUUUUGUGCUAUAGAUCCUCACCAUUUCACUUUGAAUUUGCAUAUGAAUCACAUAUACAUGCUUUCGCCUAAUGUUGACCCUCCUAGUUCACAAAGCUUUUGUGAUAGAGUAGUUG
rnacentral:misc_RNA from 1 species